rnacentral:lncRNA from 1 species
GUGGAUAGAGUGCAUGACCUGAACUCAGGAAUACUAAUUUUCCUGAGUUCAAAUUUUCUCUCAAACAUUUACCUGCUGUGUAUCCCUGGAUACAUCACUUAAUCCUGUUGACCUGUGAACCCACUGGCCAUGUAUAAUGAGGUGGAGAAGAAACGUGCAACCACUAGAAUGCCAGGAAGAGAGGGACAUGCCUGAAACAACUUAACAACACUUACUCUCUUCUACUUUCAAACUUUGAGUGGUAAUUCCUCUUGUACUUGAACCCCUUCUAUUAUCUAUGAGAACUUCCCCCUUAGAUUAUCCCUACCCUCUGUAUUAGAAUAAUGAUACUGUGGAGACUAUUUCUGAUUGUGGUAAAUGAAUAUACUCUGGCUUGACUGUGACUAGAGAGCUACUAGGGGAACCUGAGGGUGCCUAGUUAUUAUGGAAAUAGAUGAGAGAUAAUGAGAGAUAGAGAGAUACUGCUACAGGAGAAUGCUCUGGGGUUGUCUAUUGAUCACUUUUGAUGGCUAAUAGAUCAAGAUAUUUCCUACCCUCCUCCUCCCUUCACCACCCUUUUCUCAAAAUCUUUGUCUUUGCCCCUCCCCCCUGAGUGGUCUAUGAGAUUCAUGAGGAAAAACUCCUUUCUUUUCCUUUCUCAAGUAUGGGGUUUAUUGGAAACAACAGGAUGGAGGAACAGGGGUCAGGACAAAAUAACCAGAAUGUGGACAGCGCUGUGCCUUAGUAAGAAUGGAAGAGAAGGAAGUCAAAGGGAUGAGUCCUAUCCAGAUUCAAGAAGAAAUGGCAGGAGAGGACCUGGGCAUAGAUGGAUGUUAUGGAGAUCCCACUGAGAUACUAAAUGAUUGUUAGAGAUUGAUAUAAUAAGAAUAAAUAUUUGUCAUACUUU